GACGAACGCUGGCGGCAGGCCUAACACAUGCAAGUCGAGCGGAGCGGCGGACGGGUGAGUAAUGCCUAGGAAUCUGCCCGGUAGUGGGGUAUCCCGUCCGGAAACGGGCGCUAAUACCGCAUACUAUCAGAUGAGCCUAGGUCGGCUUAGCUAGUUGGUGGGGUAAAGGCCUACCAAGGCGACGAUCCGAAACUGGUCUGAGAGGAUGAUCAGUCACACUGGAACUGAGACACGGUCCAGACUCCUACGGGAGGCAGCAGUGGGGAAUAGUGGGCAAUGGGCGAAAGCCUGAUCCAGCCAUGCCGCGUGUGUGAAGAAGGUCUUCGGAUUGUAAAGCACUUUAAGUUGGGAGGCGUUACCAACAGAAUAAGCACCGGCUAACUUCGUGCCAGCAGCCGCGGUAAUUC
rnacentral:rRNA from 1 species